ensembl:lncRNA
AGUGAAGAAAAAGGUUUCCACAACCAUUUAAUGCCUCCCCUCCUAAACCUUAUAAUUUUCAGUAUCAAUAUGUUUUUUUUAAACUACAUUUACAACUUUUUAAGACUCUACCUUCAAUCGAUUCAAUCUACGAUUCCAGGCUGCCCCAUGUUCCACGUCGAAGUGUCCCUGAGCAAGACACCUAACCCCUAAUUGCUCCCGGGGCAAAAAUAUGAAAAAGCCAUGGGUUUAAAGUGUAAUGUAAGUCGCUUUGGAUAAAAGCGUCUGCUAAAUGACCUGUAAUGUAAUGUAAUGUAAUCGAAUGUUUCCAUUUGUUUUUAAUUUGUAAUUUAAUUUAAUUAUAAAAAACAACAUUUAAGUCUCCCAACUUUCCGUUGUGGUUUCUUUAAGUGUUUAUUAUCUAUUUGUCCUCCGGGUCUAACGGCGUCUGCUUCACUGGGUGUUUACCGGGGGGCGGAGAGACCCUCGAGCACGGCCGGGAAUCAAUCCCCCUUCCUCCUCCUCCUCCUCCUCCUCCUCCCGGCCUUCUGGACAACGUACGGCGAUUCUGCCAGAGAAGAAGAGCAAGAAGCAGAAGCUCUCAGAUCAGUGAGCUUCCCUCCGGAGUCUUUUAUCAGCCGGCUUCCUGUCAUUACUCCGUCAGGUGUCAGCUCUGGAGUCUGGGAAGGAUCCAUGGCCCCUCAUUUCAGAGGCGUAGGGGCGUUUUUUGGGUGGAGAUGGGGGGGUCUGUUUGGGGUUUGGGACGCGUCUAUAAUUGAUGGUUCGGAAGUUUUAAGGGGGACGAUGAGAGGAGUUUAAUAAAGUUCCACAAGUGAGUCUCUUACUGUUCAACGUGGAAAUGCAACAAUUGCCUCAUUCGGGGGCGGAGGGGUCACACAGGCGGCCAUGUUGAAACACAAACAAUGUGUCAUGUUGUGUUUGUUGUUUCAUUAUCAUGAUUAAGCUGUACUAUGAUUCUGUGCCAGCUUUUUGCUAAUGUUUAAACUAGUAUAAUACUAGUGUGAACUACCCACAGCUUUCAUGCUGAUUGCAUGAAUUAUAAAUAAUUCCUUUCGUCCCGUAAUUUUGGAGGACCAAAUUCAAUGGGAACUAUCAAAAUAAUGUUAACAUUUAAUAUUUGGUGAGUGAUGAUUUGCAGUCACUAACUUUUACAAGUGGAAGACCAACAGCUAUUAUCAGAUUCGGGCACUUAACGCUCUGACAGGCCGGCACAUUUCAUAUUUAACAGUGUUUUCAUUUGAACAGGAGGUCAUGUGACUGACCUGGCCAGUACAGUACGUUCAGUACCUGAAGCUCCGUGUUCGCUUUGUAUUUAGAAUAAUAAACGCCAAGACUCAACCGACGGGGACGUGAGCGUCUCUUUCAACAAAACAUUCAAUCAUUCAUAUAAACGACAUUUAAAGGUGUAAUAUUUAGACAGCGGCCGGUUAGGCACAAGUAAUUGAUCACGUAUUCUCGUCGAGGGGUCCGGUUGUCCGUCCUCCCGAGGGACGGACCGGUUUUGGACUCGGGGGAUGUCAGGUUGAGACGUAGGGCGGUUAAACAAGCGGGACCCGUCCCAGGAAGCCGAUGUUGGGACAGUGUUGGGACGGUGUUAGGGACGGUGUUAGGGACGGUGUUAGGGACAGUGUUAGGGACGGUGUUAGGGACGGUGUUAGGGACAGUGUUAGGGACGGUGUUAGGGACGGUGUUAGGGACAGUGUUGGGACGGUGUUAGGGACGGUGUUAGGGACGGUGUUAGGGACAGUGUUGGGACGGUGUUGGGGCGAUGUUAGGGACGGUGUUGGGGCGAUGUUAGGGACGGUUGUUGGGACGGUGUUAGGGACGGUGUUAGGGACGGUGUUAGGGACAGUGUUGGGACGGUGUUGGGGCGAUGUUAGGGACGGUGUUAGGGACAGUGUUGGGGACGGUGUUAGGGACGGUGUUGGGGCGAUGUUGGGGCGAUGUUGGGGACAGUGUUGGGACGAUGCCGGACGCAUCGACUGACGGCCUUUCACGUGUGUACUUGUGAUUAAAACGUUAACAUCUUGGGAUAGUGUCCAACUGUGAGUGUCCCCCCCCCCCUGUCCGUCCACCGCUAAUCACAUAACAAUAACUUGUUUGGUACCACUGCAAGCUCAAAGUCCUCCAGAGGUUGGGGUGACUUAGACUUUCCCAAAUCUCCUUUUGUUGUUUGCUCACUUUUGGCGUUUUGGACGGGACACACACACACACACACACACACACACACACACACACACACACACGGUGUUAGGCAAGACAUUGCAGCUUGUUUCUUUAGUUUGGUUUUAAAAAUAAAACUCCUUCCUGCCUUUGGUGUCUAGACGGGGGAUUUGCCAAUAGCGGGUUCCCAGACUACAGCAGUGCUCACAGACACACCUAUGGGAGAUCUGCACUGAGGGAUCCUUAGUGAUGAGCGGCAUGUGCUGCUAUGUUUUAUUUAAUGUUUGCUUGUGCACAUUUGGUUGCAUGAAGUAAAUAAUGUUUUAAAUUCAGAGCACAGAAUGUGCCGGUACAAACCGCUGAUUACUGACGGAGCGCGCUGAGAAAACGGACACCUGGAGCGCGUUAUGGUGGUAAUCACGUGUGGCCGAGGUAAAUAUCAGGUAGAGAGCGCCGGCGAAACGUCCUUGAUAACAUUUUACAACGUGCCCUUUGGUCCCUUCACCCACAACGCAAUUCCACAGGAAGCUUUAACCGCACAUUCCUGAAAUAGCCUUUCAGAUGGCUGCUUCUAAAAGUGGUGAAAAGGCCGGAGGGAGAACCGGAUGAAGAGCAGCCGCCACCGAGCCAGUGUGAAGAGUGCAGCUUCUCUCCACACAUCUCGGGGUCGCGGGUGCUGGUCACGAGGCCUCCAGGAUCAGCUGCUUUUGAACGCCGGGGGGGGUAAAGCCUCAGCCCAUGAGCUGCGGUACAGGGAGCCCCAGCCGGGCCCCCGAGGAUCGACAGCAGGCAGACGAAUCUUU